rnacentral:rRNA from 1 species
AGUCGAGGGGCAUCACGAGGUAGCAAUACUUUGGUGGCGACCGGCGCACGGGUGCGUAACGCGUAUGUAACCUACCUAUAACAGGGGCAUAACACUGAGAAAUUGGUACUAAUUCCCCAUAAUAUUCGGAGAGGCAUCUCUCCGGGUUGAAAACUCCGGUGGUUAUAGAUGGACAUGCGUUGUAUUAGCUAGUUGGUGAGGUAACGGCUCACCAAGGCAACGAUACAUAGGGGGACUGAGAGGUUAACCCCCCACACUGGUACUGAGACACGGACCAGACUCCUACGGGAGGCAGCAGUGAGGAAUAUUGGUCAAUGGACGCAAGUCUGAACCAGCCAUGCCGCGUGCAGGAAGACGGCUCUAUGAGUUGUAAACUGCUUUUGUACGAGGGUAAACUCACCUACGUGUAGGUGACUGAAAGUAUCGUACGAAUAAGGAUCGGCUAACUCCGUGCCAGCAGCCGCGGUAAUACGGAGGAUUC